rnacentral:rRNA from 1 species
GAUGAACGCUGGCGGCGUGCCUAAUACAUGCAAGUCGAGCGAAUGGAUUAAGAGCUUGCUCUUAUGAAGUUAGCGGCGGACGGGUGAGUAACACGUGGGUAACCUGCCCAUAAGACUGGGAUAACUCCGGGAAACCGGGGCUAAUACCGGAUAACAUUUUGAACCGCAUGGUUCGAAAUUGAAAGGCGGCUUCGGCUGUCACUUAUGGAUGGACCCGCGUCGCAUUAGCUAGUUGGUGAGGUAACGGCUCACCAAGGCAACGAUGCGUAGCCGAACUGAGAGGGUGAUCGGCCACACUGGGACUGAGACACGGCCCAGACUCCUACGGGAGGCAGCAGUAGGGAAUCUUCCGCAAGGGACGAAAGUCUGACGGAGCAACGCCGCGUGAGUGAUGAAGGCUUUCGGGUCGUAAAACUCUGUUGUUAGGGAAGAAUAAGUGCUAGUUGAAUAAGCUGGCACCUUGACGGUACCUAACCAGAAAGCCACGGCUAACUACGUGCCAGCCGCCGCAGUAA